rnacentral:rRNA from 1 species
ACGUAGGUGGCAAGCGUUAUCCGGAUUUACUGGGUGUAAAGGGCGUGUAGGCGGGACUGCACGUCAGAUGUGAAAUUCCAGGGCUCAACCCUGGACCUGCAUUUGAAACUGUGUUUCUUGAGUGAUGGAGAGGCAGGCGGAAUUCCCUGUGUGGCGGUGAAAUGCGUAGAUAUAAGGAGGAACACCAGGGGCGAAGGCGGCCUGCUGGACAUGAACUGACACUGAGGCGCGUAAGCGUGGUGAGCAAACAG